AGCCCGCUCAGAAACUACAAAGGAAGUUCGACGGGGGCCCGCACAAGCGGAGGAACAUGUGGUUUAAUUCGAUGAUACGCGAGGAACCUUACCCGGGCUUGAAAUGCAUCUGACCGGCCUUGAAAGAGGCACUCCCUUCGGGGCAGAUGUGUAGGUGCUGCAUGGUUGUCGUCAGCUCGUGCCGUGAGGUGUCGGCUUAAGUGCCAUAACGAGCGCAACCCUCAUCAUUAGUUACCAUCAGGUAAGGCUGGGGACUCUAAUGAGACUGCCAUCGUAAGAUGUGAGGAAGGUGGGGAUGACGUCAAAUCAGCACGGCCCCUUACGUCCGGGGCGACACACGUGUUACAAUGGGUGGUACAAAGGGCAGCUACCUGGCGACAGGAUGCUAAUCUCGAAAACCGCUCUCAGUUCGGAUCGGAGUCUGCAACUCGACUCCGUGAAGCUGGAUUCGCUAGUAAUCGCGCAUCAGCCACGGCGCGGUGAAUACGUUCCCGGGCCUU
rnacentral:rRNA from 1 species